ACAUAAAUUGACUGAUUUUUGUCUCGCCUGCGACGAAUGUCGCGAAGCGAGACAUAGCGACCAUAGAUUCCGUCGUCGUCGUCGUCGGCGUCCAACUUUUGGUUAACCCAAAUGUCAAAGUUUUAUAAACUGCAAUAACUUUCUCAAAUUUUAUUCAGUCUUCUUGAAAUUUGGACACAAUAUUCAGUAUGGAUAAAAAUUUAUAUCCCAAGUAUGAUUUUGAAAAAAAAAAUUCAAAUUUUUCCGUAUUUUUUCCUUAAGUUGGACUUAGUUUUUUCAUGAUAAUUUAUGGUGAAGACCUAUAUUCCAGCAACUAUAAGUUAUAGGGAUAUGAUAAUUAGUCAGUGGAUACAUCAUGGGUAACCACAAACGUCAGUACCAGAAUUAGGUCAUCUUGACCUACAUUUUUCUGCAUGAGUGACUUUGGUUAAAUUUUUGGUGGAGGUCCAUAUCUCAGCAACUAUAACUUAUAGUGGCAUGAUAAUUUGUCAGUCUACACAUCAUAGGUAACCAACAAUAUCAGUGAGGAAAAUGUUGUGUUCAUCAGUAUGCAAAAGUUAUAUAUUAAAUCCAUAUAAAAUAUACCUAUAGUCAGUCCAGAUAGAAACGUUUUACAGUUCUUAUUAAGUCCAUGACAAUAUCUCUUUAAAAACCAGCAAAAUGACUCGAUCCACUUUUUGAGUUAUUCCUUCUGAAAUGUCAAUAAAUGCUUCAGUUUAUCAGACAAUCAUUUCUUACUAACCACAGCGACAGCAGGCGAGACACAGGGUUGCGGGCAACCCUUACGUACUUUUAUUA